UACGGAGGAUCCGAGCGUUAUCCGGAUUUACUGGGUUUAAAGGGUGCGUAGGCGGGCGCCUAAGUCAGCGGUGAAAGGCAGCGGCUCAACCGUUGAACUGCCGUUGAAACUGGGCGCCUUGGAUUCGGUCGGGGCCGGCGGAAUGCGUGGUGUAGCGGUGAAAUGCUUAGAUAUCACGCGGAACGCCGAUCGCGAAGGCAGCUGGCCAGGCCGAGAUCGACGCUGAGGCACGAAAGCGUGGGGAUCAAACAGG
rnacentral:rRNA from 1 species